CCUCUCCCUCCUCUCUGUGCUCGCUUUUUUUGGGUGAUGGUUGGACCUUAGUCCCUUAUUUUCUCUCUGAUGAAAAAAAAAGGAAAGAAUAAAGAAGAAGAAACCCGUUCUCUUUCAUCUCUCUCUUCUCUUUUUCUCUCUCUCUAAGUAGAUCUAUGGAUCCUAGUAGAAAAUCCCAUCUUCCUGGCCUAUGGAUCUGAGUUGACCUUGGCAAAAAGACCCUAAAUCGCCAUGGUUCUUGGUUAGCUUGUCAAAUCGACUACUCCCGCACUUAUUGAAUAUCCCUGAAAUCUACUAUUGAUGAUUCCUGUGGAAUGAUUUUAGCCUUGGUCAAGUUUAUCUUUCAUAAUUCUUCGAUUGAAUUGCUUAGAUUUGUCCCAUCCAGAGCUGUUGAAUGUCAUCACUCAGCUAACGGUCUCUUUUUCUUAUUAUUUAAUACUAUUAAAGUCAUCGAAUAGUAAGGUUGGAAAUUGGCUUGGGCUAGUCUGACGGGCUUCGGGCUAGACCCGAAUAAAAUCAGGCCAGGUUUGGGCUUAGAUAUAAAGCUCAUUUUAUUUUCGAAUUAGGCUGGGCCUACCAUUGGCUCGGCCCGGGCCCAAGCCCGACCUCGGCCCGGAAUUCAGGCCCAAACCCGAAUAUUAAGAGUCCAAAAUUAGCAGUAGUCCCUAAUUUUGUUAGAACUAUGAACUGAGACAGGAUAUUGAGAGCAAUAGUGGUAGCCAAUUUACAUCGAUGCUAAAGGUUGUCGUUUGCUGCAUAGGAUCUCCUAAAAAAACUUUGCAUAGAUAAUAUCGCUACAUUUGUACCAAGGGUGGUGUCCCAGAGAUUUUGCUUAU
rnacentral:lncRNA from 1 species